rnacentral:rRNA from 1 species
CCUACGGGGUGCAGCAGUGGGGAAUAUUGCACAAUGGGGGAAACCCUGAUGCAGCGACGCCGCGUGAGUGAGGAAGUAUUUCGGUAUGUAAAGCUCUAUCAGCAGGGAAGAAAAGGACGGUACCUGACUAAGAAGCCCCGGCUAACUACGUGCCAGCAGCCGCGGUAAUACGUAGGGGGCAAGCGUUAUCCGGAUUUACUGGGUGUAAAGGGAGCGUAGACGGGUCAUCAAGUCAGAAGUGAAAACCCAGGGCUCAACCUUGGGACUGCUUUUGAAACUGAGGCGCUAGAGUGCAGGAGAGUUAAGCGCACUUCCUAGUGUAGCGGUGAAAUGCGUCGAUAUUAGGAGGACCACCAGUUGCGCAGGCGGCUUACUGGACUGUACCUGACGUUGCGGCUCGAAAGCGUGGGGAGCAAACCGGAUUAGAUACCCGAGUAGUC